rnacentral:lncRNA from 1 species
UUUGCAGUCAAAAAGAAUGCUCAAAAAGCAAAACAAUAUUUGUCCCGUGUAUCAAGAUUUGUCUGAGAGCAUACGAGUGGUGAGCUAAACCCAAGCCACAGAAGCAGCUUAGAAAAGGAUGCAGACCAUCUACAAAUAUCUAUAAUAAUAAUUUCCGUGCCUACCUAACAAACUUCACGAGCAUUCAACAUGCCGUGGCAAAUACGCGAUCAUUACUAACCAAUUGGCUCAGAUCCAAUUAGCUCGGAUCCAAACAGUUUAGCUGACUCUUAGCAUGACACAAAACCACCUUGUCACCUCUGUUGCAUCGGUUUUGCUCGCUCGAUCCCCCGGGUGAAACCAAUCAUCCCUAAAAAUAAAAGCACGAAUCCAGCCCCUAAACAUCGACGCCAUCCUCGUACCCAUAGAAAACCGCCACGGAUCUCAGCAUCUUACCUACACAACCCUGAAUCUUAAACCCGUCGACAGCCCAGAUCCACACCAGUAGGAGGUGUACGGGGAAGGAGCGAGCAGAUUUACCUGGCCGACGACGACCAGAGCCCGGCGCCGGGGAGGGCGGCGCUAGCGACGGCGUGAAUACGCGAUCAUUACUAACUAAUUAGCUCAGAUCCAAUUAGCUCGGAUCCAAAACAAUUUAGCUGACUCAUAGCAUGACACAAAACCACCUUGUCACCUCUGUUGCGUCGGUUUUGCUCGCUCGAUCCCCCGGGUGAAACCAAUCGUCCUAAAAAUAAAGCACGAAUCCAGCCCCUAAACAUCGACGCCAUCCUCGUACCCAUCGGAAACCGCCACGGAUCUCAGCGAUCUUACCUACACAACCCUGAAUCUGAAACCCGUCGACAGCCCAGAUCCACACCAGUAGGAGGGGUACGGGGAAGGAGCGGGCAGAUUUACC